GGUUGUAUAGUCUAGAGGUAUUUUGUCACUCCUCCAAUUUUCUAUAUUCGCGCGAGGUCGCUAGUUCAAUCCCGGCUGCGAACA